CCUACGGGAGGCAGCAGUGGGGAAUUUUGGACAAUGGGCGAAAGCCUGAUCCAGCAAUGCCGCGUGAGUGAAGAAGGCCUUCGGGUUGUAAAGCUCUUUUGUCAGGGAAGAAACGGUGAAGGCUAAUAUCCUUUGCUAAUGACGGUACCUGAAGAAUAAGCACCGGCUAACUACGUGCCAGCAGCCGCGGUAAUACGUAGGGUGCAAGCGUUAAUCGGAAUUACUGGGCGUAAAGCGUGCGCAGGCGGUUUUGUAAGUCUGAUGUGAAAUCCCCGGGCUCAACCUGGGAAUUGCAUUGGAGACUGCAAGGCUAGAAUCUGGCAGAGGGGGGUAGAAUUCCACGUGUAGCAGUGAAAUGCGUAGAUAUGUGGAGGAACACCGAUGGCGAAGGCAGCCCCCUGGGUCAAGAUUGACGCUCAUGCACGAAAGCGUGGGGAGCAAACAGGAUUAGAUACCCUGGUAGUCCACGCCCUAAACGAUGUCUACUAGUUGUCGGGUCUUAAUUGACUUGGUAACGCAGCUAACGCGUGAAGUAGACCGCCUGGGGAGUACGGUCGCAAGAUUAAAACUCGAAAAGUAGUAGUUACGGACGNGAGAGACGACGACGACGGACGACGACGGAGGGAGGAG
rnacentral:rRNA from 1 species